UCGUAGUUGAAGGACGGGUCACCUAGUUCAGUGUCUAACAAACCCCACACAAAGCUAUGAUCAGCCUGGCUUCCUGAACAUGUUCAGUUUAUCUGGGCCUCAAUAUGGUCCCAGCAAAGUUGCUUGUAUCAUCCGUGGAACAGAAUAACUUGGUAUGUUCCCAGUAGUAUGUGGAGGGAUUUAGCAGCAUGACUUCUCAUCUUCUCUUGAUGAAGACAAAGUACCUGAAGAAGAAGAUGAUAUGGAAAGAGCUGUGUAUAAAGCAAUUUUUUGUAGAAUGAUGAUCUGAGAUUUAAUGGAUAGCUGAAAAUCCACAGUUGUUCAAUAGUGGUAAUGCAAAAUUGCAAGAAAAGGAGAAAUGUAUUACGAAUUAGAUGUAUAGAAUAUGACAGAUUUAGAGAAAACAAAGCACCAGUGUUAAAGUCUAGCAAAAUAUUUCUAAAACAGUAACAUUAAUGUCAAAAGAGGAUAAUUUUCUCAUUCAAACAAAACAAAAUGAAAGUUCUGUGCCCUACCAUAUAACAUAUAUCACCUUGUAUCAAUGAGAAUUCUAUGUAGUGUCAAUCUUUAAGUUCAUAUUUGUCAUGUUGCUAUUAAAAGAAAUUGUCCAAUA